rnacentral:rRNA from 1 species
UACAUGUGGGGCAAGCGUUGUUCGGAAUUACUGGGCAUAAAGGGUGCGUAGGUGGUUUGUUAAGUCAGGGGUGAAAUCCCGCGGCCCAACCGUGGAACUGCCUUUGAUACUGGCGAACUUGAGUGCGUGAGGGGUAGGGGGAACGAGCAGUGUAGCGGUGAAAUGCGUAGAUAUUGCUCGGAAGGCCAGAGCCGAAGGGGACCUACUGGUGCGCAACUGACACUGAGGCACGAAAGCGUGGGGAGCAAACAGG